AGACCCGAAACCCGGUGAUCUAGCCAUGGGCAGGUUGAAGGUUGGGUAACACUAACUGGAGGACCGAACCGACUAAUGUUGAAAAAUUAGCGGAUGACCUGUGGCUGGGGGUGAAAGGCCAAUCAAACCGGGAGAUAGCUGGUUCUCCCCGAAAGCUAUUUAGGUAGCGCCUCGUGAAUUCAUCUCCGGGGGUAGAGCACUGUUUCGGCUAGGGGGCCAUCCCGGCUUACCAACCCGAUGCAAACUGCGAAUACCGGAGAAUGUUAUCACGGGAGACACACGGCGGGUGCUAACGUCCGUCGUGAAGAGGGAAACAACCCAGACCGCCAGCUAAGGUCCCAAAGUCAUGGUUAAGUGGGAAACGAUGUGGGAAGGCCCAGACAGCCAGGAUGUUGGCUUAGAAGCAGCCAUCAUUUAAAGAAAGCGUAAUAGCUCACUGGUCGAGUCGGCCUGCGCGGAAGAUGUAACGGGGCUAAACCAUGCACCGAAGCUGCGGCAGCGAACGUAUCACUUAAAGCGAUUCAGCGGGUUA
rnacentral:rRNA from 2 species